GACGAACGCUGGCGGCGUGCUUAACACAUGCAAGUCGAACGGAAGGGCCUGCUUUCCCUUGUGGAUUGCGGGUACUCGAGUGGCGAACGGGUGAGUAACACGUGAGUGAUCUGCCCCCAACUUGGGUAUAAGCCUGGGAAACUGGGUCUAAUUCCCGAUAGGACUGCAGGGUGGUGCCUGUGGUGGAAAACGAUUUUCUAGUGGUUGGGGAUGAGCUCGCGGCCUAUCAGCUUGUUGGUGGGGUAAUGGCCUACCAAGGCGGCGACGGGUAGCCGGCCUGAGAGGGUGGACGGCCACAUUGGGACUGAGAUACGGCCCAGACUCCUACGGGAGGCAGCAGUGGGGAAUAUUGCACAAUGGGCGGAAGCCUGAUGCAGCGACGACGCGUGGGGGAUGACGGCCUUCGGGUUGUAAACUCCUUUCGACCGCGAGGAAGCCACCUGGUUGGAAGGGUGGUGACGGUAGUGGUAGAAGAAGCACCGGCUAACUACGUG
rnacentral:rRNA from 1 species